ACACAUUUCCUUUCUUCUUUGCCUUUGAAGGGUAGUUGAAAGUAACUGAAGCGGCCCGUCCAUGGGUGAUUUUGCCCAAAAUCUCAGUGCCCUACGCGUCCAUGGGGCGAUGCCGUACCAAAUCGCAAGGGGAAAAAGAAAUAGAUGUUGGUGCCCCAAAUCCGAGUGCCCUGCCCGUCCAUGGGGAGAUGCUCUACCAAAUCGACAUGCGCUCCGGAUCAGGCGUGGUUCACAAGCGAUGCGGCAUCUCACUUUUGGCUAUGCAGUCCAUUGGCGCUGGGACAUUUAGAUGUGGCGUUGGGUUCAGGGGCCAUCUUCUGUGUGUUGUUCCUAUCGUCUUAGGCUGCGGAUGUGCUCACAGUACGCCUCUCCUUCUUAGUUUUUAGUACAGGGGGAAAACACAGUUCCUUCUUUCCUUCGUCCUUAAGGGAAAAAAGAAAUGGAGGCCGUUGGCCCAAAUUUGAGUGUCUUGCCCAUCCAUUGGGAGAUGAUGUACCCAAUUAGUGAAUAUGGCGUAUCAGAUUAAUUCGCUUGCCCAUCCAUGGCCAAAGCUUGGAGGAUAUCAUGCUGGUGGCCAUUUUUUGCCGAGACCUGGACAUGUGCACGAAGGGCCACUUCGAGUCGCUUGGUGACAUAAUGAUUUUAGGAGCAUCACCGGCAAACCUACCUUCAGUUUAAGCUCGUGGUUUGGAAUUCCUGGGAAGGUCAUCUUGUUAAGGAACUCCGUUGGACACAUAUUCUCCAUUGUGUUGUACUUCAUUGUUGUCUUGCAUAUAGUGUCCAAGCUUAGUCUCUCGACGGGUGGAUCGCGAUGGUGAAGAUCAAACUGGAAUAUCCGCCAGCAUGCUUCGGUUGUUGAUAUGUAUCUCAUCUCUAGGUAUUUCCUGAUUUCAUCAUAAUCGUUUGCCGCAUCCCUUUCCUUUAGUAAGGCUGUUACUUGGUCGUCGUCUUUAUGGAUGUACUUAAAUAGGUACUUAAUUGACCUGGACCUGUUGCACCACUCGACAUUUAUGUGAGCUUGGAAUUUGACCAAAAGGUUUCUGUUGUAUGGCAUGACAAAUAUGUUGUCGAGCAUUGCUCCUCCCUUUUUAAUCUUCCUUCCAUUGUCUCGCCUUCUAUAUACUGGAAAGCCAUCCUCAUCGAUUGUGCUAUCGACAUUGUAUCCUUUUGGGAAGUGUUUACUACAUCUGUUCUCCAUCAUGCAUGGCGAUUUUGUAUUUGCCUCUCCGCAAGGCCCGUGCAUCAUGAAAUUCUCAACAGCUGCAUAUCCAUCCGGAUCGACAUCUUUGUCUGGGAUCUCCACACUGAUUAUUUGGUCAAUUUCUGAUGGUCCUUUGCACUUGUAAUUAUCUUUGAGGAAUACCAGUAUGUGCGCAUGCGGGAGUCCCCUCUUCUGGAACUCUAUCGCGUAGAUAACUGCAUUGAUUGAAUACAUAGUUUGGUUUUGUUACAUUUCAGAAGCAUUUUAUUAAAUAGACAAAGGCUAUAGUGUGCUAAAACUAUUAAAAAUUUAGAUGCUAUUAGUUGCGAUGAGUAGUCGACUGAUCUUACUUGCUAUCGUUUCUCCAAAGUGUUUCUUCACAAGAUGUCUCUCAUCAACUCCUUCAGUUUUAUCAUGAAUACUCGAUCAACAAUAUCUGGCCGGUCGGCUGGAUUUAAGCCUCCUCCUGCUUCAUCUAGCAUGUAUUGGAUCUCGGGCCACUUUGCAUUGCAUGUGAAUGUUAUAAACAGGUCUGGAUAUCCAGCCCAACGGCAUAUUGCAAAAGCGUCUUGCAAGUUCUGUGCCUUGUAUCUUCUGCCUCCUGUAAAAGAUGAAGGUACAAUUAUCCUCUUUCCAACCUGCUCUGUUCUGGUGUCCUCUCGCUCAAUCGCGUCUUGCAGUCCACUAUAAAGUUUAGUUCGUAACUUCCCUUGAUUAUUCCUGACCCAGUUUAGUCUGUUUUGCUCAAUGCAUGUGUAAACAUCUACCCAAAAUUGCAGCGAUAGAUGUCUAGACGUUAGCAGUGACAUUCCUUGGUCAGGUCUUUGCUGUAGGUAGUAUGCGUAGUAGUCCAGCAUAGUUACAUAUUUCCUGCUUUUGUCACCUUCUUUUCUUCGCUUGUAAGGUAUUUCAAGCUUGAAGCCGUCUUCUCCGUAUGGAAACAACAUCAGGUAUUGCAUCGACAUGAACUUUGGAUGGAUUUCUGAUAUUCUGUGAGGUUCCAUAUUUUUGUACUCGACAACGUUGUCUCGUCCUUCGCUCUCUCCAGUUGGAUCUCUUACAACCAAUGCUGCAACUUCCUAUGCAGAUGGAAGGUUGUGUGUUCCGUUCCUUUUCCCAAGUAUCCGAAGUGUGUAAUCGUGGUAGUCUUCUUCUUUGAAUCUAUCUCUUGCCAUUCUAAAAGAUUUCACGAGGAUGUUGUUCUCAUCAAGCAUAUUUUGUAGUUUUUCGACAAUGGCAGUGUUCACCGUUGAUUUUUUAUCAUUGCAUCUUGAAGCAUCUAUCCUGUUUUGAACCUCAUUUUCUUUCUGAUAGAUGUAUAGCUGGGCGAAUCGAGGUUUGUUACCUUCUUCAGGUAGUAGACUUCCGAUAUGGUGGUAGUUCUGGCCAUGCAGUCUAAAAACAUAUGGUCCUUUGCCUUCGUUUAUUUCUUUGUCAACAGCUCCUCCCAUUGAUGUGAAUGAGAACAUUGAGUUGUAUGACCUGAUGUUUUCUUUGAAGUUUGUUGCAUCACUUCCUUCACCUGUUAAUAGUCCUGCGAGGUAAGGUGGAGGAUAUGCUAUCUUUGGUAGGUCAAUCUUACCUUGUUUACAGCAAAUUCCGAAAGAAGGUUUUUUGGUUCCUUUAUGAGAAUUUAAUCUUUCCUCACACCAUAGUAUUGCAUUGAAAUGUUCGCAUCUAUAUGUUGGCUUUCCAAAGUUCCAUAUCGUGCUAUCAUAACUUCUGGACGUAGUGCUGCUGCUUGUUUCUAUGAUGUUGCUUUGAAGGUCAUUGUCCCUCCCAUUUCUCCUUGAACGCUUGACAUCUCUUAUUUCAUUGAUUUGUUCCUUUCUCUUCCGUGAAGCAUCUUCUUCUAUUUUAUUGGUUGUUUCCUGUGUAUUCCUGCAUCUCUUACUCCUUUUUUCUUGUAGUUGUUGUUUCCUCCUGAUAAUAGCUUCUUUAGCUUCUUUUGCAAGUGGGCCUGCUGAUUUUGACGUAUACUGUCCCUUCAUUUCUGCAUUUGAUAUUCUUUUAGCAAUAUAGUAUCAAAUAUUUGAAAGGUACUUUAUGCACAAUGUCAUAAACAAAACAAUGUAUGCACUAAAUAAGAGAUGCUGGCUGCAUGUAGAAACAACCUAUAAUUCUUAUCAAUCAUGCUUUUCAGGAUUGUUGUGUUGCGUGGUUCGAGCUGCAGCGUAUGGCAUUAUUGGUGUGACAGUGUGGUUGUUUCUCAGUGCACGACAAUUGCUCCAUGGGAAUUACUACGGCGAAGUACUCUCAAAGUCAUUUUUAGCACUACACGUAAAAUUAUUUGGUUUUGUAAUAUUUACAAAGGGAAAUCUUUCAAAUGUAUAUUUUAGAGAAGUACAAAAAAUUAGUCAUUACAUGAAGAUAUAAAAAGGUGAAUGAUAUACCUGAUAGUGUCUUCUUGCCUUGGUUUUUAAAAUUUGUAAAGCUUCACACGCUUCUACUAAUAAAUUAUUGUCACAAUUGUAUCUUUGCUGCAAAGCAAAUCCUGUACUG